CCUUCGGCAGUUUGCUACCGAAGUUUUUAGGCAACCGGCGGCAGUUAACUGCCGAGUAAAUCUGAACUUAAACAAUUUCGGUAGUUAACUGCUGAGGA
rnacentral:pre_miRNA from 1 species